rnacentral:snRNA from 9 species
AUACCUACUUAACGUCGGGAUACCGUGAUCAUGCAGGCGGUUCCCCCAGGGUGCGGCUGCUCCAUUGCACUGCGGAGUGGUUGACCCUUCCGAUUAUUUUUAUAUUUUAUAAGUUUCACUUCUACCGUGUGUGACUUGCACACACACACA